GGAUGGGAGGGCGAUCUGCCUGCGGCAUCUGUCACCCCAUUGAGCGGCAGGGUUGAUUCUGCUCGUCUGGCAGGUUGGUUGGGUGGGUGUCUCACCGUUCCAUGUGCGUCACCGUUUCAUGUGCGUCCCUCCCGAAGCUUUGCACUUCGUGAAAGAGGAUGACCCUCCCCAAUAGAGGAGAACCAUCUCCUCAGCCAAGGUUAUACAAGUAGCUGCCCUCCCCUGCUAGAACCUCCAAACAAAUAUAACAAUAUACUGUAAUAAAACUUCCAUGAAUAUAGUCUCUUCCUGAAAACAUCUUAUUGUAUUUUCA
rfam:Heterocephalus glaber contig268068, whole genome shotgun sequence.